rnacentral:rRNA from 1 species
GAUGAACGCUGGCGGCGUGCCUAAUACAUGCAAGUCGAGCGAACAGAUGAGGAGCUUGCUCCUCUGACGUUAGCGGCGGACGGGUGAGUAACACGUGGAUAACCUACCUAUCAGACUGGGAUAACUUCGGGACACCGGAGCUAAUACCGGAUAAUAUAUUGAACCGCAUGGUUCAAUAGUGAAAGACGGUUUUGCUGUCACUUAUAGAUGGAUCCGCGCCGCAUUAGCUAGUUGGUAAGGUAACGGCUUACCAAGGCAACGAUGCGUAGCCGACCUGAGAGGGUGAUCGGCCACACUGGAACUGAGACACGGUCCAGACUCCUACGGGAGGCAGCAGUAGGGAAUCUUCCGCAAUGGGCGAAAGCCUGACGGAGCAACGCCGCGUGAGUGAUGAAGGUCUUCGGAUCGUAAAACUCUGUUAUUAGGGAAGAACAAAUGUGUAAGUAACUAUGCACGUCUUGACGGUACCUAAUCAGAAAGCCACGGCUAACUACGUG